rnacentral:rRNA from 1 species
GAUGAACGCUGGCGGCGUGCCUAAUACAUGCAAGUCGAGCGAAUGGAUUAAGAGCUUGCCCUUAUGAAGUUAGCGGCGGACGGGUGAGUAACACGUGGGUAACCUGCCCAUAAGACUGGGAUAACUCCGGGAAACCGGGGCUAAUACCGGAUAACAUUUUGAACCGCAUGGUUCGAAAUUGAAAGGCGGCUUCGGCUGUCACUUAUGGAUGGACCCGCGUGGCAUUAGCUAGUUGGUGAGGUAACGGCUCACCAAGGCAACGAUGCGUAGCCGACCUGAGAGGGUGAUCGGCCACACUGGGACUGAGGCACGGCCCAGACUCCUACGGGAGGCAGCAGUAGGGAAUCUUCCGCAAUGGACGAAAGUCUGACGGAGCAACGCCGCGUGAGUGAUGAAGGCUUUCGGGUCGUAAAACUCUGUUGUUAGGGAAGAACAAGUGCUAGUUGAAUAAGCUGGCACCUUGACGGUACCUAACCAGAAAGCCACGGCUAACUACGUGCAGCCGCCGCAGUAA